AGAGGCUUAACACAUGCAAGUCGAGGGGCAUCAGGAAGAAAGCUUGCUUUCUUUGCUGGCGACCGGCGCACGGGUGAGUAACACGUAUCCAACCUGCCCUUUACUCGGGGAUAGCCUUUCGAAAGAAAGAUUAAUACCCGAUAGCAUAAUGAUUCCGCAUGGUUUCAUUAUUAAAGGAUUCCGGUAAAGGAUGGGGAUGCGUUCCAUUAGGUUGUUGGUGAGGUAACGGCCCACCAAGCCUUCGAUGGAUAGGGGUUCUGAGAGGAAGGUCCCCCACAUUGGAACUGAGACACGGUCCAAACUCCUACGGGAGGCAGCAGUGAGGAAUAUUGGUCAAUGGGCGCUAGCCUGAACCAGCCAAGUAGCGUGAAGGAUGAAGGCUCUAUGGGUCGUAAACUUCUUUUAUAUAAGAAUAAAGUGCAGUAUGUAUACUGUUUUGUAUGUAUUAUAUGAAUAAGGAUCGGCUAACUCCGUGCCAGCAGCCGCGGUAAUACGGAGGAUCCGAGCGUUAUCCGGAUUUAUUGGGUUUAAAGGGAGCGUAGGUGGACUGGUAAGUCAGUUGUGAAAGUUUGCGGCUCAACCGUAAAAUUGCAGUUGAUACUGUCAGUCUUGAGUACAGUAGAGGUGGGCGGAAUUCGUGGUGUAGCGGUGAAAUGCUUAGAUAUCACGAAGAACUCCGAUUGCGAAGGCAGCUCACUGGACUGCAACUGACACUGAUGCUCGAAAGUGUGGGUAUCAAACAGGAUUAGAUACCCUGGUAGUCCACACAGUAAACGAUGAAUACUCGCUGUUUGCGAUAUACAGUAAGCGGCCAAGCGAAAGCAUUAAGUAUUCCACCUGGGGAGUACGCCGGCAACGGUGAAACUCAAAGGAAUUGACGGGGGCCCGCACAAGCGGAGGAACAUGUGGUUUAAUUCGAUGAUACGCGAGGAACCUUACCCGGGCUUAAAUUGCAGUGGAAUGAUGUGGAAACAUGUCAGUGAGCAAUCACCGCUGUGAAGGUGCUGCAUGGUUGUCGUCAGCUCGUGCCGUGAGGUGUCGGCUUAAGUGCCAUAACGAGCGCAACCCUUAUCUUUAGUUACUAACAGGUUAUGCUGAGGACUCUAGAGAGACUGCCGUCGUAAGAUGUGAGGAAGGUGGGGAUGACGUCAAAUCAGCACGGCCCUUACGUCCGGGGCUACACACGUGUUACAAUGGGGGGUACAGAAGGCAGCUAGCGGGUGACCGUAUGCUAAUCCCAAAAUCCUCUCUCAGUUCGGAUCGAAGUCUGCAACCCGACUUCGUGAAGCUGGAUUCGCUAGUAAUCGCGCAUCAGCCACGGCGUGGUGAAUACGUUCCCGGGCCUUGUACACACCGCCCGUCAAGCCAUGGGAGCCGGGGGUACCUGAAGUACGUAACCGCAAGGAUCGUCCUAGGGUAAAACUGGUGACU
rnacentral:rRNA from 1 species